GGAUGAGAAUCUUCCGCAAUGCACGAAAGUGUGACGGAGCGACGCCGCGUGAUGGAUGAAGCCCCUUGGGGUGUAAACAUUUUUAUGUAUGAAGAAAUUAUUGACAUUAGUACAUGAAUAAGAGGCUCCUAACUCUGUGCCAGCAGGAGCGGUAAUACAGAGGCCUCGAGCGUUAUUCGGAAUUAUUGGGCGUAAAGGGUGCGUAGGUGGUUAUAUUAGUCGAAUUUCAAAGACCUGGGCUCAACCUGGG
rnacentral:rRNA from 1 species